UUGUCAUGCAGUGAUGGGCUUUCAAGAAAGGAAAAAACCCACAAUGUCAUAGGACGAAAGACAGUCAAUAGUGAACCAUCCAAGUCAAUGUUUCAUGGACAACCAUAAGAAUAUUCCUGCCAAAAGGUUUCCUUGCAUGAAGUGAGGAAGAUCAGUUGUUAUUCAGAACCCAUUUCUACAUGUGAAAAUAAAGCUACUUCCAUGUC
rnacentral:lncRNA from 1 species